rnacentral:ribozyme from 1 species
AAGAAGGAAAAGAAAAAGAAAAAGAGGGAGAAAGAAAAAAAGUUAUUUCUUUUUGUGCUUCUUAUGUGGAUCGCAAUAAUUUGUUCCUCUUUCUUUCCU